rnacentral:rRNA from 1 species
UACGUAGGGGGCAAGCGUUGUCCGGAUUUAUUGGGCGUAAAGAGCGUGUAGGCGGCCAAGCAGGUCCGCUGUGAAAACUCGAGGCUCAACCUCGAGAGGUCGGUGGAAACCGUUUGGCUAGAGUCCGGAAGAGGAGAGUGGAAUUCCCGGUGUAGCGGUGAAAUGCGCAGAGUAUCGGGAAGAACACCCGUGGCGAAGGCAGCUAACUACGCGAUAAUUGACGCUGAUGCACGAAAGCGUGGGGAUCAAACAGG